UGGGGAAUAUUGGACAAUGGGCGAAAGCCUGAUCCAGCCAUGCCGCGUGAGUGAUGAAGGCCUUAGGGUUGUAAAGCUCUUUCGCCAGGGACGAUAAUGACGGUACCUGGAUAAGAAGCCCCGGCUAACUUCGUGCCAGCAGCCGCGGUAAUACGAAGGGGGCUAGCGUUGUUCGGAAUUACUGGGCGUAAAGCGUAUGUAGGCGGAUCGUUAAGUCGGGGGUGAAAUCCCGAGGCUCAACCUCGGAACUGCCUUCGAUACUGGCGAUCUUCGAGUCCGGGAGAGGUGAGUGGAACUCCGAGUGUAGAGGUGAAAUUCGUAGAUAUUCGGAAGAACACCAGUGGCGAAGGCGGCUCACUGGCCCGGUACUGACGCUGAAAUACGAAAGCGUGGGGAGCAAACA
rnacentral:rRNA from 1 species